CUUUGGGAAAGAUCCAAGUUGGUGAAUUGCUGUCCAAAGUCUUUGGUUUACUCAUCAAACACAAGGUGAAGCUGGAAAGUAAUUUCGCCUCCAUCGUGUUUGCCAUCAUGGUGCUAGAGGGUCUGGGCAGGUC